UUCUGUGAAGCAGGUGUUGGUUAAACACCACAUCCAAAGAGGCCCAUCCCCACACUCAUCUUCCUGCUAAGCCUAGCCUGUGUGAGAGGGAGCUGGAGGCUGCCCCUGUGCAGAUGGACCCUCUCUCUUAGCCACUUUCCCUCUCUGGGCCCCAGGCUCCUUAUCUGUGAAAGGAGAGAGUUGGACCAGCUGGUCUCUGAGGCACCAUCUGUGGAUAGCUCAUGAUCGUCUGUCUUGUUCUAGAUAUGCCCCCUGACUUAGGUCGGGUUCCCUGAGAAAUAGACUCCGAGGUGGAGAUUUCAUGCAGCAAGAUUUGUAGGGAGUGCCCUUGGUAUCAACACCUGGAGGAAGUGAAGGAAGCAAAGGGAGCAGAAAGAGAAGUUGUGCUGCAAUGCGGUUGCAACCAAGGCCUCAGCCAGUCCCAUGGGGUGCUCUGCAGAUGGUCCUGCAGAAUUGCUCUGCCUUGAGGCAAGAGGGCCAGGCCUUUGAAAGCAUCUCCCCUUUAGCCAACUAACCAGGCAUUGGAGGUGGCUGCCCUCAGGUUUGGGGUGUAUCCUUGAGCCAAGUGGCUCUGUGGCUGAGGAUAAUUCUAGAGAGUGACUUGGGAAUGAGUGCCUCAGUCCUGAAGGGGGAUCUGGGCAGCAUACUGUAGCCUUCAACACAUCCCUCCUCCUCCUUUCCCUCUAAAUACCCCAGCCUGAGUUACAUCCCUUUCUGUGUUAGAAAAUCUAGCCCAGAUUUCUGUACUUCUGACUGUCAGCUGCUUCCAGGUUGGACCAGGGUCUGAGCAGCAUUAGGACUUGCCUCUCUGCUGCCUCCCUUCUUUGGUUUGCCUGGGACCUGUGCUGUGCCAGAGAAGGUGGAGGUUGGGGUGAGUUGCUCAGCAGGGCCCUGGAAGGCAGGAAACGUCUUGUGUUCCGCAAACAUGGCUGAGUACCAGCUGUGUGCAGGGUACUGGGCACAGUGCUACUGUGAGAGGCUCAGGACCCAGAUUAGGAAGAUAUCUGGCUGAAGGGAGUUUGUAUGUGACCUGACUCUUCUGCAGUUCUGUGCCUCAAUAUCUCCUUCUUGGGGCAAUGAUAGGGCAUCCUUAAGAACCACAGCCACUUCCCUGGGAUGUGGAUCCUCCUACAUGAUGGCUGCAGUUCCCCAAGCUUGGACAGUGCAUAAUUUUAAGAAGGAUCUGGCUCUCUCCUCCCGCCGCCCAAGAUGCCGAAAGGAAAGAAGGCCAAGGGAAAGAAGGUGGCUCCGGCCCCUGCUGUCGUGAAAAAGCAGGAGGCCAAGAAAGUGGUGAAUCCCCUGUUUGAGAAAAGGCCUAAGAAUUUUGGCACUGGACAGGACAUCCAGCCCAAAAGAGACCUCACCCGCUUUAUGAAAUGGUCUCGCUCUAUCAGGUUGCAGCGGCAGAGAGCCAUCCUCUAUAAGCGGCUGAAAGUGCCUCCUGCCAUUAACCAGUUCACCCAGGCCCUGGACCGCCCAACAGCUACUCAGCUGCUUAAGCUGGCCCACAAGUACAGACCAGAGACAAAGCAAGAGAAGAAGCAGAGGCCAUUGGCCCGGGCCGAGAAGAAAGCUGCUGGCAAAGGGGACGUCCCCACUAAGAGACCACCUGUCCUUCGAGCAGGAGUUAACACCGUCACCACCUUGGUGGAGAACAAGAAAGCUCCGCUGGUGGUGAUUGCACACGACGUGGAUCCCAUCGAGCUGGUUGUCUUCUUGCCUGCCCUGUGUCGUGAAAUGGGGGUCCCUUACUGCAUUAUCAAGGGGAAGGCAAGACUGGGCCGUCUAGUCCACAGGAAGACCUGCACCACUGCCACCUUCACACAGGUGAACUCGGAAGAAAAAGGUGCUUUGGCUAAGCUGGUGGAAGCUAUCAGUACCAAUGACAAUGACAGAUGCGAUGAGAUCUGCCGUCACUGGGGCGGCAAUGUCCUGGGUCCCAAGUCUAUGGCUCGUAUCGCCAAGCUCGAAAAGGCAAAGGCUAAAGAACUUGCCACUAAACUGGGUUAAAUGUACACUGUUGAGUUUUCUGUACAUAAAAAUAAUUAAAAUACA